GCAACAGCCGAGAAGGAUGGUUCCUCUUGGCGGAAGUUUUUCGCCAAGAGGCUAAGAGGGAAUGUGACAGGGUUUUCCUAAAAGGGAUCGCUCAGGCACAGCCGCCCCCGCGACCGUUACCGGAAAGAUGGCCCAACGCCACUGACACGCAGUCGGGAAGGAUGGGCUAUCGUUGGGGAAACCCUGAAUCCGCGAGCCGGGAGACCUGCCACCGCAAAUACAACGGG
rnacentral:ncRNA from 1 species